ACUUACCUAGUAUAAAAAGUAUAUUUGACUUCCAAUCAAGAGGUUUGUUUCUACAAGUUAAGUA
rnacentral:tRNA from 1 species